rnacentral:lncRNA from 1 species
CAACCCUGUAUAUUAUGUAACCAUGUCAUGUGAGGUGCAUUAGGUAACUCAUGUGAGCUCAUUCUUGGUUAGGAGCCACUGUUGUCUGUAAAAGGUAUAACUAACCUGCUGAGGCUGUACAUAUGGCUCAUGCCCAGAGAGAGAAUAAAGCCAUGUCACAAAUGCCUAUGAUUCCUAUGAUUCUCAAGUGUUUUUCCAGCUACAUGCCACCUGCCCACUGAGUCCCCUUGGACUCCAGCUUGAGCUUGAACCUGAUAACUGGUGUAGUCAGCAGGAUCCCGAGGGUGGCCAGCCAGCAGCACACCAUCCAGGCCCUGCAACACUUAUGUGCCCUGUAUGGCUGCCCUCUGGCCAUUGAGAGUGAUAGGGGAACACAUUUCACUGGGCAACAGUGCUAUGAAUGGUGUAAGCAAGACUCUCUUGAGAGAGAAGGGCUUCAUGGAGAAGCUGAUUUUGCUGGUGGUGAAGCAGGGGAUGGUCAUUCCGGGCAGAGGUUGCAGGUAAGCCCAGGUAUGUCUUGGAACAUUUAGAAUGCAUGGAGAAUGUGCAGGAGAUGAGUCUGGAAAGGAAGGAC